rnacentral:misc_RNA from 1 species
UACGUAGGGAGCAAGCGUUGUCCGGAAUCAUUGGGCGUAAAGAGCGUGUAGGCGGUCCGGUAAGUCCGUUGUGAAAGUCAAGGGCUCAACCCUUGAAUGCCGGCGGAUACUGUCGGACUAGAGUCCGGAAGAGGCGAGUGGAAUUCCUGGUGUAGCGGUGAAAUGCGCAGAUAUCAGGAGGAACACCGAUGGCGAAGGCAGCUCGCUGGGACGGAACUGACGCUGAGACGCGAAAGCGUGGGGAGCAAACAGG